rnacentral:rRNA from 1 species
UUGGCUCAAAUUUGAAAUCUGGCGGUCCACAGGCCGUCCGAGUUGUAGUCUAGAGAGGCGUCUUCCGCGUCGGACCAUGCACAAGUCCCUUGGAACAGGGCGUCGUAGAGGGUGAGAAUCCCGUCUGUGGCAUGGACUCCCGGUGCUCUGUGAUGCGCCUUCGAAGAGUCGAGUUGUUUGGGAAUGCAGCUCAAAAUGGGUGGUAAAUUCCAUCUAAAGCUAAAUACAGGCGAGAGACCGAUAGCGAACAAGUACCGUGAGGGAAAGAUGAAAAGCACUUUGGAAAGAGAGUUAAACAGUACGUGAAAUUGUUGAAAGGGAAACGCUUGGAGUCAGUCGCGUUUGCCGGGACUCAGCCUGGCUUUUGCCUGGCGCAUUUCCUGGUACACGGGCCAGCAUCGAUUUUGACCGCCGGAAAAGGGCCUGGGGAAGGUGGCACCUUCGGGUGUGUUAUAGCCCCUUGUCGUAUACGGUGGUUGGGAUUGAGGACCGCAGCACGCCUUUAUGGUCGGGGUUUCACCCACGCCACGUGCUUAGGAUGCUGGCGUAAUGGCUUUAAACGACCCGUCUUG